UACUCCAUCAUCAUCGCCUCUCUCUCUCCCUGUCAUUAUUGCCUCUCCCUCCCUCCCUCCUUCCUUCCUCCUCGUCACUCUGCUGCCUCAUCCAACCUCCUUCGUCUAAUCACCUUCUUCCUCCCUCAGAGAAGCUUAGCCUUCCCCCAACCCCAUAUCUCCAUUCUCAACAGAUGCAAUUACACUUUAAUUGAAAAAACAAGAGAUCGACAAAAGCAAUUUGAAGCCUCUGUAUCUAUUUUCCUUUUCUCAGUUUCUUAUCUUCUUUCUUGUCUCUGUGUUUAUAAUUUUGAACGAGACUAUGAUGAUUCUCUGAGGAAGUCAUGCACCACUCUGAUUUUCUGUGAAUGAAAAAUUUCUCAUACCCAAUAUAUCUGAGCCUCCUAGUAUCCCUCUAUUUUUGAUUUUUGAUGUCAAAUUGUUUUGUGAAUUGAUUUGUUUUUAGCAUUUUGUUGAUUGUGUGUCCAGGAAUUGAAGGACCAGAUGAAGGGAUCUUUGGAUCUUACCAUGAUGCGGGCCGUACAACUUUUUGCUGAUGAGGAUACAAUUUUGGUCUUGAUGGUCCCUUCUUUGACCUUAAUUUCAUUGAUUUCUGUUUACAAGCCUUGAAAUAUGUUCUUAUGAGAUAAUUCCUGCAAGAGGAAAACCAAUUGGUCCAGGACCACCACCAGAACUCCCUCAAGCGCUGCGAACGCACAGGCGGCAAACGACGGAGUGCAAGAAUCGUUUGUGAAUGAGGAGUGAAUCGAGCAUGAGAUUUGGCUUUAACGAUCAAAGCAAACGGAUCUAUGGCUCAACAUCAAUCAUUCUAUGAACAGUGCCAUCAAGGAAAUUGGAGAUUUUGAGAAUUGGAUGAAAUGUUCUGGAAAAAUAAUUGGUUGCAGAUGAAUUUGUUAAUUAAUCUGCAAUUUUUUUU